UGAAGCCGAGUUGGCGCUAUUUUUUCCUAGUCGAUAAUUUUAAAUAAGCUUUUGGAGCUGUUAGAAUGGCAAAACAUGUAAAUAUAUCAAAAUGAUACUUCGUGGAGAUAUUGUAAAUUGAUACGGUUGAUGGGUUUGACGAUCGAAGCAAACUAUAUUGGAGAAAAAUCCGGCAAAAUUAAUCGGUUGGUGAUGAUAUGAUGGCCAUGGCGCCAGAAGCGCCGUUUGUGGGGUUGCAGACCUGGUUGGGGUAUAUCUGUUUAAUGUCGGCCUUUCUGAGGAAUGGCGAAGCACUGGUCGCCACGCGUUUUCAAGCCCUUCCCUGCGAUGGCCAUUCGGAACACUGGGGUUUCCCCUGAGCUACCUUUCCCGUCCACCUAACUUAUGAUCUUGUAACUUUGCAAAAUAAAUUAAAUAAAUGGAAAAAUAAGC